CCUACGGGAGGCUGCAGUGGGGAAUAUUGCACAAUGGGGGAAACCCUGAUGCAGCGACGCCGCGUGAGUGAAGAAGUAAUUCGUUAUGUAAAGCUCUAUCAGCAGGGAAGAAAAUGACGGUACCUGAGUAAGAAGCCCCGGCUAACUACGUGCCAGCAGCCGCGGUAAUACGUAGGGGGCAAGCGUUAUCCGGAUUUACUGGGUGUAAAGGGAGCGUAGACGGCAGUGCAAGUCUGGAGUGAAAGGCGGGGGCUCAACCCCCGGACUGCUCUGGAAACUGUACGGCUGGAGUGCAGGAGAGGUAAGUGGAAUGCCUAGUGUAGCGGUGAGAUGCGUAGAUAUCAGGAGGAACACCGGUGGCGAAGGCGGCCUGCUGGACUGCGACUGACGUUGAGGCCCGAAAGCGUGGGGAGCAAACAGGAUUAGAUACCCUUGUAGUC
rnacentral:rRNA from 1 species